UUACGGUCAAAUCAUGCUGAAAACACCGGUUCUCAUUCGGUUCUCGUUCGAUCACCGAAGUUAAGCAUCGUAGAGCCAGGUCAGUACUUAGAUGGGGGACCGCUUGGGAACACCUGGUACUGUAAGC